UGCGCGGUAGUGGAGCUAGGUUCCACGUUGGGCUCAUAACCCAAAGACAGGGGUUCGAAUCCCCUCUGCGCCAC
rnacentral:tRNA from 1 species